AUCCUCACGUAGAAAACUUGAGUUCCGUAUCAACACAGUUCUGACUCCUCAUGCCUGACUGCAGGCUGGGAAACACCCACUGUGCUAACUUCUUGAAGCUGUUGAAUAUCAGAUAUUCCAGAUGCCGUACCAUCAUUACAACUGGUCACUUACCCACUUCAAAGAGUGACUGAAAUAUGAGAUGGCAACACUUUUGGCAGAGUCCUGUUGAAAUAUGCAAAGCCACCAAGAUUGCCAAGAUGGUAAAAAAGAAAUUAGAGGU